UACGUAGGUGGCGAGCGUUGUCCGGAUUUACUGGGCGUAAAGCGCGUGUAGGCUGUUCGGCAAGUCGGAUGUGAAAGCCCUGGGCUCAACUCAGGAAGUGCACUCGAAACUGCCGAACUAGAGUCCUGGAGAGGAAACUGGAAUUUACGGUGUAGCAGUGAAAUGCGUAGAGAUCGUAAGGAAGACCAGUGGCGAAGGCGAGUUUCUGGACAGUUACUGACGCUGAGGCACGAAGGCCAGGGGAGCAAACGGG
rnacentral:rRNA from 1 species